rnacentral:misc_RNA from 1 species
AAAGAAAUUAACUUUGUGAUAGCAAUCUUGUAACCUCAAAGCAGAAUGCAUGAUACAGCCAUUUAACAUAAUCAUCACUGAAUAAUACUUUGAUACAAACACAAUUACUUCAACAAGAACUGCUUCCACUUUAUGACAGGAUCGAAAUGUUCAAUAAGGCAGACACAUUAUUUUCACUACCACUACAAUUUUAUCAACUUCCACUUUACACAACACCCUGUAAGCAGUUCAACUCAUCUCAUAAGAAAUGGAUUCGCAUAUUAACUACUUGAACAGACGGAGUUCUUAGGCAUAUAGUCAUUAUAUUUAUGGUAAGUUCUCUGAUAAGUGAGAAUUCUAGUGAUUUGAGGUGUAUCAGUUGAUGGUUGAUAGGUAAAGAGCCUAUUCAAUAGCGCCUUUGGUAUUAGUGCACUUGAGUCUGCUAGACUUUCCUCUGGAAAAGAAGUGAGCCUAAUAAAACAGCAAUGCCUGUUAUGGCGAUUGUGAACAGAAGCCGCUUUCUGGAGAAUUCUUGUGGCUGCCUUCUUGGUGGACCACGGUCUCUUUCAGCUGUGUGUGUGUUCCUGGAAGAUUCUGCAACAUUACUUAUCAUUCCAUUGCAUCUACUCUCAUGAACAUCUCUUUCUCGGAGUCUAAUGUAUCUGCUACAAAGAUGGCAUAAUUCUGUCCGGUUCCCGCAUACUUCCUGAUGCUCAAAUAAAUCAAUUGCAGGCAAAGGAAACUCGCAAUACUCGCAUGUCACGAUCCUUUUUGGGCAAUUUUCACCUCUAUGAACAGCUAAAAUCUCACGUUCCAUUGUCUCGCUACACAAAGAACAGGCAACCGGAGCAUGAGUGCUCAAGAAAUGUUCCUCCGCAAACUUUCUAGGAACCAUAUCCUCACAGAUUUUACAUUUUUCAAGAUUCCGGGAGCAGUGAGCAAAAUGAAGAUCAAGAUUGGUGGAAGGAAUUGCUCUGUCACAGUGACUGCAGAUGCUGGUGGCUUGAUCAGAAGCUACAGCCAUUACUCCGCCCCAAAAAGAUCAACAAGAAUCUCUCCCUUUGAAUUAAAAUCUAAAGAUUCUUCAAAUUGGAUUUAUCGACAGGAUCAAUAGAAUGAUCGAUGAUUGAUCUGAGAAUUAUAUCCCUUUUUUGUUUGUAGGAUUGAAGAGAGAGACUG